rnacentral:rRNA from 1 species
CCUACGGGUGGCAGCAGUGAGGAAUAUUGGUCAAUGGACGAGAGUCUGAACCAGCCAAGUAGCGUGAAGGAUGACUGCCCUAUGGGUUGUAAACUUCUUUUAUAUGGGAAUAAAAUGUUCCACGUGUGGGCUUUUGUAUGUACCAUAUGAAUAAGGAUCGGCUAACUCCGUGCCAGCAGCCGCGGUAAUACGGAGGAUCCGAGCGUUAUCCGGAUUUAUUGGGUUUAAAGGGAGCGUAGGUGGAUUGUUAAGUCAGUUGUGAAAGUUUGCGGCUCAACCGGAAAAUUGCAGUUGAAACUGGCAGUCUUGAGUACAGUAGAGGUGGGCGGAAUUCGUGGUGUAGCGGUGAAAUGCUUAGAUAUCGCGAAGAACUCCGAUUGCGAAGGCAGCUCACUGGACUGCAACUGACACUGAGGCUCGAAAGUGUGGGUAUCAAACAGGAUUAGAUACCCUUGUAGUC